AACGCGAAGAACCUUACCAACCUUUGACAUGUCCCGUAUGAGCACCAGAGAUGUAGUUCUUCAGUUCGGCUGGCGGGAACACAGGUGCUGCAUGGCUGUCGUCAGCUCGUGUCGUGAGAUGUUGGGUUAAGUCCCGCAACGAGCGCAACCCUUGUCCUGUGUUGCCAUCAUUCAGUUGGGAACUCGCAGGAGACCGCCAGCGAUAAGUUGGAGGAAGGUGGGGAUGACGUCAAGUCCUCAUGGCCUUUAUGUCCAGGGCUACACACGUGCUACAAUGGCGAGUACAAAGCGCUGCAAACCUGCAAGGGGGAGCCAAUCGCAAAAAGCUCGUCUCAGUUCGGAUUGGAGUCUGCAACUCGACUCCAUGAAGCUGGAAUCGCUAGUAACCGCUGAUCAGCAAGCAGCGGUGAAUACGUUCCCGGCCUUGUACACACCG
rnacentral:rRNA from 1 species